GGGGUUCUAAAUCUUCCAUAGGAAGUACUUUUGCUGAUAAUAUAUCUAAUGAGGUAGUACAAAGAUUAGAGCAAGAGGUGAGGAUGUUAAAGGAGUUAAAAGAAAAACAUGAUGAAGAAAUGAAUUUGAUGAAACAAAAUCAAGAUAAGUUACUUUCAAAACUAUCUUUCAUUAGAAAAUUUAUGUAUAAACAUUUUCCAACGAAGCUAUCUAUGCUUCAAAAGUUCAAUGAAAGCUCAUUUGGACAGGUAUGAUUCAAAUGCUUUUAACCAUUUUUUUUUCAAAUUCUGAUUGUAAAAGACAAUUUUUAUUUUCUGAUGUCUUAAUUAAGUCUUCGAUACUAAUAUUGGCCAGGAAAAAGCACCAAAAAUGCCACACAUGUCCUUUGGUACUCAUGGUAAUUUGUAAUGCCUUUUGUACUUGCACCUAUAAAUACUCUUUGUAAAGUGUACAUGUUAACACUUUUUUUUUUCUUUUUGGAUUUGUAGAAUCACAAUUACCUACAAAAUUUACUGCAACUGCGAAAAUAGAAUCACAAUCAACUAAAAUUCCAAUUGUUAUAGUGAAAACAGAGGCUAACAAAAAAAGUAUUGUUCAAGUUGGUGGCCUCACUUCCUUGCUCAAGCUUCUUAGAAAAGAUAAUGAUGAAAUUAUUUGCAUACUAGCAGUAGAGGCAAUUGCCAAUCAGUCCAUGAAUGGUGGUUAUGUAUUAGACAUUGUGUUAAGUAAAUUAGUCCAAUUUAUCUA